GCACGCCUGUAAUCCCAGCUACUUGGGAAGCUGAAGCAGGAGAAUCACUUGAACCCGGGAGGUGGAGCCGAGAAUGCAUCAUUGCACUCCGGCUCGGGCAACGAGCGAAACUCCAUCUCAAAAAAAAAAAAAAAAAAAAAGAAAAUCUCACAGGUAAUUUACUAGUACAUUGACCUAUAGUUCUAAAAUUCGAAAAGUGGUUUCUAAAAUGUAAGCAAUUUAUUUCAGAAAAAUAAAUUCUUCAAAAUUUGGGGGAACAUUUUUAAAAUGAUUUUAACAUUUCUAUUAUUAAAAAGUAAUCUAUGUUAAACAUAAUUUUUAAAAAGUGUUGAAAUCAUGACUUAUACAAACAUGAAUGAAUGGCUAUCAAAGCUUUACUUUAACUCAUUUAUUAAUAAAAGAACCAAUAAGAUAUUACUACCAGUUCAAAAGAGAAUUUAAAAUAUGCAUACAUAGGCAAUCAGGGACACUGAAGUAAAUUUACAAAUAGAUACAAAACUGGUCAAUAUCCCAGGAGAAGUAACCAAGUGCAUCACCACCAAACACAAUUUGCAUUUCUAUGGACACAAAUCACCUGCAUUACUAUCAGUUUUCUACAGUUUAUAGUUGUAAAAUAGCUCAAAGACAAGGAAAGUUAGUGAGAACUUGGAAGGGUGAACUAGGCAAGACAGACUACAAUCUUUUUUUUUCUGGUCCAUUUCAAAGUCUUACACAGUUUUUAUAGACACUUGCCUGAUUAUAAGUUCAAAGAAGGGAUAAUGGAUAGCUAGUAGAACAUCUUAACAAUGAUCCCUUCCUUACACCUUAUACAAAAAUUAAUUCAAGAUAGAUUAAAGAUUUAAACAUAAGACCUAAAACCAUAAAAACCCUAGAAGAAAACCUAGGCAAUAGCAUUCAGGACAUAGGCAUGGGCGAAGACUUCAUGACUUAAACACCAAAAGCAAUGGCAACAAAAGUCAAAAUAGAUAAAUGGGAUCUAAUUAAACUAAAGUGCUUCUGCACAGCAAAAGAAACUAUCAUGAGAGUGAACAGGCAAAAUACAGAAUGGGAGAAAAUUUUUGCAAUCUAUCAUUUUGACAAAGGGCUAAUAUCCAGAAUCUACAAGAACUUAAACAAAUUUACAAGAAAAAAUCAAACAACCCCAUCAAAAAGUGGGAGAAGGAUAUGAAUAGACACUUCUCUAAAGAAGACAUUUAUGCAGCCAGCAAACAUGAAAAAAAAAAAGCUCAUCAUCAAUGGUCAUUAGAGAAAUGCAAAUCAAAACCACAAUGAGAUACCAUCUCAUGCCAGUUAGAAUGGCAAUCAUUAAAAUGUCAGGAAGCAACAGAUGCUGGAGAGGAUGUGGAAAAAUAGGAACGCUUUUACACUGUUGGUGCGAGUGCAAACUAGUUCAACCAUUGUGGAAGUCAGUGUGGCGAUUCUUCAAGGAUCUGGAACCAGAAACACCAUUUGACCCAGCAAUCCCAUUACUGGUUAUAUACCCAAAGGAUUAUAAAUCAUUCUACUGUAAAGACACAUGCACAUGUAUGUUUAUUGUGGCACUAUUCACAAUAGCAAAGACUUGGAACCAACCCAAAUGUCCCUCAGUGAUAAACUGGAUAAAGAAAACGUGGCACAUAUACACUAUGGAAUACUAUGCAGCCAUAAAAAAGGAUGAGUUCAUGUCCUUUGCAGGGACAUGGAUGGAGCUGAAAACUGUCAUUCUUAGCAAACUAACAGAAGAACAGAAAACCAAACACCGCAUGUUCUCACUCAUAAGUGGGAGUUGGACAAUGAGAACACAUGGACACAGGGAGGGGAACAUCACACACCAGGGCCUGUCGGGGGGUGGGCGGCUAGGAGAGGAAUAGCAUUAGGAGAAAUACCUAAUGUAAAUGACGGGUUGAUGGGUGCAGCAAACCACCAUGGCAUGUGUAUAUCUAUGUAACAAACCUGCACGUUCUGCACAUGUACUCCAGAACUUAAAGUAUAAUAAUAAUAAUAAUAAUAUAAUAAUAAUAAAAUGAUUAUAAUUGAGUUUAGUGCCCAAAAUUUAAAUUAAUGGGUAAGUAAUCAAAACAGGAAUUUCCGAUAUGCUAAUUUCAGAUUAUUCUUAGCCCUCUGUUGCUACGUUCUCUGUGGUUUUCUUUGUGGUAUAGUAGAAAGGGCACUAGACUUGCUGGUGGAGGUUGUAUUCUCAGAGGUAUGAUUUACCUGUUGAUGCGGCUUUUGUUGAAUUAACUCAAUCUCUCUGAGCCUCAGUGUUCUCCCUGGAAAAUGUGGAUAAUUAUUUACUCUACAAGACUCACCAUAUCACUGCUUAGCAGAUUCAGUGAAAGGAUGCAUGAUGAUGAACCAUAAAGGUAUCCCUCCUUCAGACCCUGCCAAGGAGGUCACAUUCACACAUCACUGUCUGUUCUGCAGCUCCACUUCAAUGUCUUAGGGUCAUCUCAAAACUAACCAGGCCAAAGCUCUGCUGUUGAUUCCCACUUUCAUCCCUCAAAACUUAUUUUGCUUCAUGGCAUCACCAUCCACCCUGUUUCUUAUUCCAAAAACCCAGGGUUCAUUGAGGAUUAACCACUUCCUUUACCCUCACAUCUAAUCUAACACCCCACCUUACUGGCUUUACUUUCAAAGUAUCUUUCUAGUCUCACCAUUCUCACAAUUUCCAAUGUUACCACCCGGGACCAAGCCAAUACCAGCACUUUGGAGACUGAGGAGGGAGGAUCAUGAGGUCAGGAGUUCGAGACCAGCCUGUCCAGCAUGGUGAAACCCUGUCUCUACUAAAAAUACAAAAAAUUAGCUGGGCAUGGUGGUGCAUGCCUGUAGUCCCAGCUACCCGGGAGGCUGAGGCAGGAGAAUCACUUGAACCCGGGUGGCGGAGGUUGCAGUGAGCCGAGAUCAUACCACUGCACUCUAGCCUGGGUGAUAGAGCGAGACUCUGUCUCAAAAAAAAGAAAAGGUGAAAUUCCCCCACGCCUCAUAUCUUAAAAGGACUACACCUCAUGUCCUAAAAGGAUGACAUGUCCUAAAAGGAUGACAUGUCCUCAUGUCCUAAAACAACUACCUACCGUGCUGUCUAACUCUCUGCCUUUGUGUCUUUGUUUCCCUUUGGCUGCCUGUCUCCAGCCACACUGACCUUAAUAUUCUGUACUGGGCCAUGCCCCUUCCUGCUGCAGGGACUUUGAAUUUGCUGUGUCCUCUGCUGAGAACAUUCCCUCUGAAGAUUCAGAACCCUUUAUACUACUCCAACACCAAAUAUUUAAUCUGUCAAUCUAAUCUUGGAUAUUUGAAAUCUUCUCCAUACAUAUCAUGAGAUAUUCUUCGCCAGAAUAAGCUUUUGUUUCACUACCAAGAGGUGAGUGCAUUUUGAAAUCCACUGGAACCUCACAGGUAUUGAAUCUCUUCUGUGCACAUUUGGAUGUGGAAAAUGGAAACUUGUAAGUCUACGGAAACUAAACCAGAGCAGGUUUUAUAGUUGGGCCUAAGAUACAGUUCCUAGGGUUCAGUUUAAAAAUAUUUUCUAUUUUUUCCUGGAUUUUAUUGCAAAUGUUUUGUCGCUGUUUUGAUUCUGUUUUUGUCUACACCUGGGUUUAAUUCCUCCACUAUUAGGUACUCACUGUGCUGUGAUGGUUUGAAUGCAGGUUUGGCCUCCUCUCCAGCCUGUGACUACCGAGAAGACAGGGCACCUGUCCUAUUCACCUUUGUAUCUCUGGUGUCUCACUCAGGAUCCGGCACAGUGCUUGCCAAGGACCUGCUCUGCGCCAGGGGCUGCUGGAGCUGGGAACCUAAUGAUCACAGUGUCAGCCUCUGCCAGCCUUUGUAUGUGUGGCAGGGGUGGUUUUGAGUCCCACCAUCUUCCAUCCCUGAUGCUUGGAGAAGCUGAGGACACACAGGGGUGUACAGGGAGCAUGGUGCCAGCAUCUGCUUCUGAUGAGGCCUCAGGAAGCUUCCAAUCAUGGCAAAAGGUGAAGUGGGAGCAGACACAUCACAUGGAUCAAAUACACGGACCGCAUCACCCAGCCUUGUAGCCUUCCGCAUCCUGGGGAGAGGGGUCCCAGCCAGCACUCGCGGUGAGAACAGAGCUCCCUCUCGGGACCCCGUUAUGCUGACCCUGGCUUCCACUUCUAGGAGAAAUAAAGCAUAGAAAGUCCUGUUGGUGAUGCUGACAUCUUUCGAGAUGAUUGAUUCAUCCCUGACAAGAGAAGACGCUCUGGGGUUCCAGCUGCCCACCGCUCAGACAAUACCGAUUUGCAGGUGCUGACGCCAAUCCCGCCAGUUUGAUUUGGAUGUAGCAGGGUCUCACUCUGUUGCCCAUGCUGGAAUGCACUGGCCUGAUCACAGCUCCCUGCAGCCUCAACCUUCUGGGCUCAAGUGAUCCUCCCACUUCAGCCUCCUGAGUAGUGGGACUACAGGUGUGCAACACCACAUCUGGCUAAUUUUUGUAUGUUUUGUAGAGACUGGGGUCUUAACGAUAUUGUCCAGGCUGGUCUCAAACUCCUAAGCUCAAGUGAUCCUCCCAGCUUGGCCUCCCAAAGUGCUGGGAUUACAGGUGUGAAUCACCAUGCCUGGCCUUGAUAUUUUAAAUUAAA